CAGCAAUGAGGAUGAUAACUUUGUAUGAGUAACAGUGAUUCACCUAUACGCUAUUCUGAGCUGACC